UAUCUGUGUCUAAACUUAGCAAAAGCUAAAGAAGAUAAUUAAAAACAUAACCUAAGCUAAAGAAGCCCAUUGGGGACCAGCUACAAUCAUUCAAUUGGAGUCAUUUAAUCAAGUCAUUUAGUUAGUUUUGAUGCUCACAUGAUUUUAAAUUCAUUUGGCUUAGGUGCUACUAAAAACAGCUUUGUUGCUUUGCCGAAGCCUAAUGAUGGAAGGGAAAACCCUGCAAAUGCACACAUAUGCACACAAACCAAGAGAGAUAAAGAGGCUGGUGCUGCUCAGAUUUGAGAGAAUUUGUUCACAUCUACGGCCUACAGGGAUGAAAUGAUGUAGGAAAGAAUGUACAGUAAAUG